GCUGAUGGGACGUUUGAACAAACAACCAAACCUGCCUUCACCAGACAGAGCUCCAGGACCAUAUCUUUCAGGAUGAUGAGGAAGAAAGAAGAGGAGAGGGAACCGCUGCAGAGGAGUGCAAGUGUGAAGUUGGCCUCCAAAAAGUUUCAACCUAACACAGUAAGAU